rnacentral:tRNA from 1 species
GUGUCUGAAGUCGAAGUGGUCGAGACGCUAGCCUGUGAAGUUAGUCGAUAGCGGGUUCAAGCCCCGUCAGACACCCCU